rfam:Trichomonas vaginalis G3, whole genome shotgun sequence.
GUAGUCUGCCAUACGCAGGAAGACCCGCUGAACUGAAGCAUCUCAUUAAGCGGAGGAAAAGAAACUAACUAGGAUUCCCUUAGUAAAGGCGAUCGAAAAGGGAACAGCCCAACGUCUUAAUCCCGCAAGGGAAAUGUAGUCGGUUCACCUAUUGCACUGGUCUAAGUCAGAUGGAAUGCUGCGCGAUUCAGAGUAAAAGCCUCGUAUGACCAACCGCAAGCUUACGAUGGACCGGGGAGAGUCGGAUACUUUGAGAGUAGUGUCUUAAGGGGGUGGUAUGUCCCAUCCAAGGCUAAAUAACGUGAGGAGACCGAUAGAUUACAAGUAGUGUGAACGAAAGAUGAAAAGAACUCUAAAACAGAGGGUGAAAAGUUCCUGAACUUGCUUAGGGUUAAGGCUAUUUAUAGUACCCGUCUUGAAACACGGAUUAGGGAGUUUAUCUGUAGUGCGAGUCUUUGCACGUUAACUGUAAAGGCGUAGAGAAAGCAACUGGCGUUUGCAUGGCUACUGAGCAUUACUGAUAGGACCCGAAAGGUGGUGAACUUUGCCUGCACAGGUGAAGUCAGGGGAAACUCUGAUGGAGGACCGUACGGGUUAUUGAUGUGCAAAUCAUUUUUCUGAUGUAGGUAAAGGUGCGAAAGACUCAUCGAACCACCUAA